rfam:Omnitrophica WOR_2 bacterium SM23_72 WORSMTZ_649, whole genome shotgun sequence.
AAAUCCCUGCAGUGCGCGUUGGAAUUCUGAUAAUUGUUGAACCAACAACAACUUAAUGGGAGCUCGCGCUUCCUCGGCGUUUUGGCGUCAAGGAGAGAGCGCCCACCUGAAAAGAAAUCGGUUCAGACUGUCACUCCAACGGCACCCUGCGGGGAUUUU